UUGCCAACAGAAACUGUGCAUAUGCUUACUAAGCGACAUUGUCUCCCAUUAACCGAAUUAUACUUAAUUAACCUGAAACAUGCUGGUGUGAUGAUGUCAUUCCAGCCGACUCAUCUUGGAGGCUUCCCUCAGGUCCAAGCUGAAGCGUCUGUUCUGCUGGCCCAAUUGACUUUGAGUAGAAAUGGGACUGGCUCCUUUCAGGAAGUUACUCUACCUGGAGGUAGAAGGCCCAGUUCUGACUCUAAACACAUCCAGCACUCAACCUGCAGGCUUCUUGUCUGAUUCGAUGAAUCACUCAGCUUUCUGGACACCAGCAAUUGGAUGGCAUGCUAUGUGCAGAGAGAGAGGAGGCAAGUAAUGCUGCUGAAAGGAUCUUAGAUGACAGGCCGAGGCAGCGCGGCGCUGGAAGGAGUCAUCUCGGCUGUGUCCUUGUCAUCUCUACAUGAAUGGUGCCUUGGUCUGGAAGCACGAUGCCAGCUUGGCCCGGCGACAGGAAAGUGGAGUGGCGAGGAGAGGAGCGUUUGUCCUCGGCCGGUGGAGCUCAGAUGGGAGGCAGUGCUGCCUCUGGUUGGGACUGGGGAUGCUGAACGGGGGGAGGGAGGGCCUGUUUGAGCUGGGACAGCAGCUCCAGCAGCAGGGGGAGUACCAGGCCGCCCUCCACUGCUUCCUCAGCUGCCUGUUGGGACUGACCCAUGUGCAGAGCUUCACCUCUCUGCCCAACUGUCUACACCAGAUUGCAGAACUCUUCAUCACUGAAAAGAAUUAUGGGAAGGCCCUUCAGUUCAUCCAGGCUGAAAAAAUGUUCUACGAGGUGGCACUGAUAGAGCUCACCGCUCUCCAGGGGAGCACAGGGCCUCAGGAGGAGGCUAUGUUGGGCUCUGCAGGAUGGGCCACCCCAGAGGAGCUUUCAGAGCAGGCCUCCCAGGCACAGCACCUCGAACGGCUGGCCCAGCUCUGCAUCAUGAGCAAACGGCCUCAUCUUGCUUUAGAAUACAGUGGUAAGGCCACUAAGAUCCACCAGAGGGCCUUUGGUAAUGACCACCCAAUAACAGCCCGGAGCCUGGAGCUUUUGGCCACUGUCUAUGCUGAGAUUGGCAAGACUGAAUAUUCAGACUCCCUGGGUCAGUGUGUGUCCGCGCUGUCCAAACGGUUUGCUGCUGCCGAGUCCGUCAAAGACACCGUCAACUGUCUUCCUCAUUCCCACCGGGAGAAACACUCAGAGGUCCGCCACCGGAAGGACACCCACCACCAACAGGAGGAUACACUGAGACCCAAGGUAACCAAUGGUAAAGUCCCCACCUCCAUACUAAAGAGGCCCGGCCCCAGCUGUGGGUCAGACACAGAACCCGCUCACAGACGGAAGGGCGAGCGCAGGGUUCGAUUCAGGGAGCCAGAGACCACUGUACAUGGUGAGAAAACAAGAGAAAAAAAGCUUGUACAUAACCGCAUGUUUGACAUUUUGACACCCUGCUCAGCCAGGUUCACAUGAGAGUCAAAUUUUGC
rnacentral:lncRNA from 1 species